GAUGAAGAACGCAGCAAAAUGCGAUAAGUAAUGUGAAUUGCAGAAUCCAGUGAAUCAUCGAAUCUUUGAACGCACAUUGCGCCCGCCAGCAUUCUGGCGGGCAUGCCUGUUCGAGCGUCAUUUCAACCCUCGACCUCCCUUUGGGGAAGUCGGCGUUGGGGACCGGCAGCACACCGCCGGCCCUGAAAUGGAGUGGCGGCCCGUCCGCGGCGACCUCUGCGUAGUAAACCAACUCGCACCGGAACCCCGACGUGGCCACGCCGUAAAACACCCAACUUCUGAACGUUGACCUCGAAUCAGGUAGGACUACCCGCUGAACUUAAGCAUAUCAAUAAGCGGAGGA
rnacentral:misc_RNA from 1 species